rnacentral:rRNA from 1 species
CCCAGAAGUGGGGGAGUAACGUAGCGAAAGUUACGCUAAUACCGCAUACGAUCUACGGAUGAAAGUGGGGGGACCUUCGGGCCUCAUGCUUUUGGAGCGGCCGAUAUCUGAUUAGCUAGUUGGUGAGGUAAAGGCUCACCAAGGCGACGAUCAGUAGCUGGUCUGAGAGGACGACCAGCCACACUGGGACUGAGACACGGCCCAG